rnacentral:lncRNA from 1 species
CGUUCUAGUGAGAACCUCGAGAUAUUGUCUUGAGCUCAAGUCUUGGUCUUGUGUGCGCGUAUUUGCUGUGGAUUUGAGUGUGUUGCUUCCCUCCCUUACUCUAGUGCUUUAUUGUGAUUCUUAUUGUAGGGGCGAGAGACUCCAAGUUGUGGAGAUUCCUCGCAAACGGGAAAGAGAAAAGUAAAGAAGAACACCGUGGUAUUCAAGUUGAUCAUUGGAUCACUUGAGAGGAGUUGAGUGCAACUCUCGUCCGUUGGGACGCCACAACGUAGAGUAGGCAAGUUUUGUACUUGGCCGAACCACGGGAUAAAUCCUCGUGUCUCUUGUGCUUGUCCUUAUUGUGUCUAUUGUGCUUCACAAGAGCUCUCCUCUCUACGCACUUAAUUUCAUUGAUCUAACUCUUAAUCAAGUUUGUGGUGUUAAGUUUUAAGUUUUACAGGAUCACCUAUUCACCCCCUCUAGGUUCUCUCAAUGUCCCCUAUAUCAAAAAGAAUAUUGUUAAUGGCUCAUUGUUAAGUCGAAUGGCUAUAAACUUGUUUCCGAAUCUAAUAAAUGUAUACUUUCAAAAUAUGAGACAUUUGCUGGCAAAGGCUAUGACAAUGGAGACUUGUUUCGCUUAUCUUUGCAUGAUGUGUGUAAUAAGUCUGUGAACAAUGUUGUUUUCGAAUGAGUCAUAUAUUAGGCAUUCACGACUUUGUCACAUCAAUUUUAGUUAUGUAUCGCAGUUAGCAAAUUUAAAUUUAAUUCUGGAAUUUGAUUUAGUCAUAGCUUCUAAGUGCUAGGUGUGAGUGCAAUCUAAGCAACCUCGCAAGCCUCAUAAGGCUGCAGAGGCGAGGAAUCUAGCACAACUAGACUUAAUACAUUCCGAUUUAUGUGAGAUGAACAUAAUUUUGACAAAAGGAGGAAAGCGAUAUUUUAUUACUUUUAUCGAUGAUUCUACUAGAUUCUGUUAUGUGUAUAUCUUAAAAUCAAAAGAUGAAGUUUUGCAUUUUUUUAAGACCUACAAAGCUGAAGUUGAAAAUCAACUCGAGAGAAAAAAAUUAAACGGUUAAGGUCUAAUCAUGGUGGAUAAUAUUUUUGGGUGAUUUUUUUCUGAUUUUUGUGUGAAACAUGGUAUUAUUCAUGAGAGGACACCGCCAUACUCACCACAAUUCAAUGGGGUUGCUAAAAGAAAGAAUCGUACUCUAACUGAUUUGGUUAACGCCAUGUUAGAGACUUCGGGAGUAUCUAAGGAGUGGUAGGGUGAGGCGAUUUUGAUGGCGUGUCAUGUCAUGAAUAAAGUUCCCACAAAGAACAAAUAAAUCACACCAUUCGAGGAAUGGGGAAAUAAGAAAUUAAAUAUCUCCUAUUUACGCACAUGGAGUUGUUUGGCUAAAGUGGAUGUGCCAAUUAACAAGAAGCGCAAAUUAGGACCGAAAACUGUUGAUUGUGUUUUCCUUGGGUAUGCUUUCCACAACAUUGGAUAUAGAUUUUUAAUUAUAAACUCUAGAGUGCCGUACAUGUUGGUUGGUACUAUUAUGGAGUCCAAAGAUGCUACGUUCUCAAGACGAAUUUUCUAUUAAAGCUACACAUGAUACGUCUAAUGAUGAACCAACUUUAGACAAACAUACUGAGGAAUCUCAUAUACAUAAUCCUGUGGAAGAUGACAAUGUAAUAACUCGAAAAGUAAGAGAUCAAGGAUUGCAAAGUCCUUUGGUAAUGAUUACAUUGUAUAGCUUGUGGAUGACACACCAAGUACCAUUGAAGAGGCAUAUUCCUCUACUGAUGGUGACUUUUAGAAAGAUGCAAUAAAGAGUGAGAUGAAUUCUAUUAUGUCUAAUGCAACUUGGGAGGUCGUUGAGCGUCCUUAUGGGUGUAAGCCCAUUGGGAGUGAAUGGAUGUUUAAGAAAAAUCUUAGGCCUGGUAGUACUAUUGAAAUGUACAAGGCGAGGCUUGUAAUUAAAGGCUAUUCACAGAAGGAAGGUGAUGAUUUAUUUGAUACUUAUUCACACGUGGCUCGAUUGAUCACAAUCCGUCUGCUACUUUCUCUGGCUGACUCUCAUGGUCUUCUUGUCCAUCAAAUAAAUGUUAAGUCAUCAUUCCUAAAUGGAGAGCUAGAUGAGGAAAUCUACAUGGAGCAGUCAACUGGGUUUGUAGCAAACGAUCAAGAAGGCAUGGUGUGUAAAUUAUUGAAAUCCUAGAAAACUAUUGAAGAAAAAUCAAAGGAUAUAUAGGUAUCAAUUGAGAUUUUCCCAAAUAAUUGGUUCACUCAUGUACUUAGCUAGCGCUACGAGGCCUGACAUGUCGUUUGCUAUGAGCAAACUUAGCCUGUUUGUUUCAAAUCCGGGAGAUGAUCACUGCGUGCUCUUGAGAGAGUUCUACGCUACCUAAAAGGUACUUUGAGUUUAUGCAUCCAUUAUACCGGGUACCCACCAAUACUGGAUAUAUGAUGCUGAUGAGAUAUAUGCCACAAGUAGAUAUGUGUUUUCACUUGAAGGUGGCGAUGUUUCAUGGAAGUCUUGUGAGCAGACCAUCUUAACGAGGUUGACUAUUGAAAGUCGCCUAGAGGGGGGGUGAAUAGGGCGAAUCUGAAAUUUACAAACUUAAGCACACACUACAAGCCGGGGUUAGCGUUAGUAAUAGAAACGAGUCCGAAAGAGAGGGCGAAAACAAAUCACAAGCGAAUAAGAGCGGAUGACACGGUGAUUUGUUUUACCGAGGUUCGGUUCUUGCAAACCUACUCCCCGUUGAGGUGGUCACAAAGACCGGGUCUCUUUCAACCCUUUCCCUCUCUCAAACGGUCACCUAGACCGAGUGAGCCUUUCUCUUCAAUCAAAUGGGACACUAAGUCCACUACAAGGACCACCACAAAUUGGUGUCUCUUGUUUUGAUUACAAGUGAUUUGAACACAAGAAUAGAGGAAGAAGAAAAGCAAUCCAAGCGCAAGAGCUAAAAGGAACACAAUUGUCUCUCUCACUAGUCACUAUUUGAUUGGAAUGAUCUUUGGACUUGGAAGAGGAUUUGAUCUCUUUGUUUGUGUCUAGUAUUGAAUGCUAUAGCUCUUGUAUGAGGUGUGAAGGCUGAAAACUUGGAUGCAAUGAAUGGUGGGUGGUUGGGGGUAUUUAUAGCCACAACCACCAAACUAGCCGUUAGGUGGAGGCUGCUGUCGUAUGGCGCACCGGACAGUCCGGUGCGCCACUAGACACUGUCCGGUGCGCCAGCCGCGUCACCCGACCGUUGGAGCUUCUGACAACUGGGCCACCGGACAGUCUGGUGGUGCACCGGACAGUCACUGUUCACUGACCGGUGCGCCUUCUGGCUCUACUCUGACUUCUGCGCGCACUGUAGCGCAUUAACUGCUCGUUGCAGACGACCGUUGGCGCCGUGUAGCCGUUACUCCGCUGGCGCACCGGACAGUCCUGUGAAUUAUAGUGGAGCGGCUCCCGGAAUUCUCGAAGGUGGCAAGUUUGGAGUCGGGUUCCCUGGUGCACCGGACACUGUCCGGUGGCACACCGGACAGUUCGGUGCGCCAGACUAGGGCACACUUCGGUAGUCUUUUGCUCUUUUUAUUUGAACCCUUUCUUGGUCUUUUUAUUGGUUUGUUGUGAACCUUUGGCACCUGUAAAACUUAUAAUCUAGAGCAAAAUAGUUAGUCCACUUAUUUGUGUUGGGCAAUUCAACCACCAAAAUUCAUAUAUGAAAAGGUGUAAGCCUAUUUCCCUUUCAACUAUGAAAGCAGAACUCACAACAUUAGAUAUCUCUUUAGUUGGGGCUGAGUGACUUCGUGAACUCCUUAUGGAUUUACUGGUGGUGAAAAACAUGUGCAGUCUAUUUCCAUGAACUAUGAUAAUCAGACUGUGAUGAUUAAGAUAAAUAGUUCUAAGAAUAAUACGAAGUCGACAAUGCACAUAAAGAGGUGUUUGAAAUCUGUCAGGAAAUUGAGAAACUUCGGAGUAAUAGCGUUGGAUUAUGUUCAUACGUCUAAAAACUAGCAGAUCAAUUCACUAAGGGCAUAUCACGUAGUGUGAUAGAUAGUGCAUCAAGUGAGAUGCGACUGAGACCCACCUAAAGUUUAUCAUAGUGGUAACAUAUUCUAUGUGAUUGGAGAUCCCAUAAAUUAGAAUGGUGAAACAAACUAGUGCUAGACUGAGAGGAAAGACCCUUAAUAAGGUUCAUUUCAGAUGCAUAUCUUUUAUACUGUAAGGUAGGUUGGUGUUUACAGCUUAAUAUGUUCCAAGUGGCUUUGUGAAGCAAAGAUGUUGUCAUAUAAAACAUCUUUAGAGGAACAUACAUACAUGGGUUAACUGCUAGUCACAGUUUAUGAGAUCUGGAUAGUCACAUUCGUUGGCUCGUGACAUUAAAGGCUCUGAACAGUCUCACGGUGACAAAACAACAGGCUAAUGAAUGGCGUAAUUAGUUAAUAAAAUGAUAAGCAAGUCACUCUUCCUUUGAUCAUUGUGCCAUUGUAAAAAAAAUUAUCAUCUCUCAGUAGAGAGAGUAAUUAGUUCAUUAGCUAGUUUAACUCAGCUAAUAAUUUGUUAGAUGACUAAUUAUUGGCUGUAGGAUUCUAAACAGAGCCUAAAUAGCUGGAAUAGCUCUAGCCCUCAAUCCAAACUAAUGAUAUCUAUACUUAUGCAACUCUAAAUUUUUAUUCUAAAAGUAAUAUUUCAUUUUUGUCAACGAGAUUCUCUACUCUAUUCCACAAUCUUUUGAAGCUAUAUUUACCUUAAAUCUGUACUCUAUACCAAUAAUCAUAUAUUCUAUUAUUUAUUUUUAUCUCUCUCCUAAGGAGCAUCCCUCUAUGUCUGCAUGGCCCCCGCCUCGGGUCCCAAUCUCUUGCUCUGCUAGUAGCACAGAAGAAAACACUAGAAAUGACUUGCUUGACUUAGAGUAUCAGAUAAACAUCAUGUUUACUUAACUUUAAUUUGUAUCGGUUUCUACUAUUUUUAUAAUAUUUUUGUCUCUAUAGAUACUACGUGCAACAGUAUAAUCAACCUAGUUUAAUCCAGAGCGAAGGAUUUUUUACUAAGUACGUGACUCCAUAUGCACAGCGUUCCUUUUAUGGUUCCUCACUGGGCACAGCAUAAACGAACCCUGUCCAAUGUUUUCAGCGCGAACAAACAGAAAUUCCAUCAGCGAACAAACAACAUACAUGCGAGAUGAAAAUAAAUAAUAAAAAAAGCUCCGUCUCGAUAGGCCGGCACGAAUCGAGAGCCUCCAUAGCCAGUUUUUUCCAUCGGAACGGCGGUUCGCGCACCUAAUUAUAUGCACCACACGCCUAUAAAGCCAACCAACCCGUCGGAGGGGCGCAAGCCAGACAGAAGACAGCCCGUCAGCCCCUCUCGUUUUUCAUCCGCCUUCGCCUCCAACCGCGUGCGCUCCACGCCUCCUCCAGGAAAGCGAGAGGUGAGCGCAGUCCCCUUUCCCCUCCUUCCAAUUCAAUUCGUCUUCUCGUUCGCAGCCCUAGGAUUUGGGGGUCUGGAGGGGUUUGAUCGUUUCUCGCCGUGAAUCUGCUUUGGUGUAAACCAACGGAUCUCGGAUCGUAGUCUUCAGAAGAUCCCGGAUUUUGCGGUUUGGCCCCUCCUGGAUUCAAUUCGUCGUAUCGUUCGCAGCCCUAGGAUUUGGGGAUCUGGAGGGGUUUGAUCGUUUCUCGCCGCGAAUCUGCUCUGGUGUAAACCAACGGAUCUCGGGUCGUAGUCUUCAGAAGGUCCCGGAUUUUGCGGUUUGGCCCCUCCUGGAUUCAAUUCGUCGUAUCGUUCGCAGCCCUAGGAUUUGGGGAUCUGGAGGGGUUUGAUCCUUUCUCGCCGCGAAUCUGCUCUGGUAUAACCAACGGAUCUCGGGUCGUAGUCUUCAGAAGGUCCCGGAUUUUGCGGUUUGGUGGUUCUUGCUCUAUGAAUCAGAGGGAUGGUUCUUCCCGGAUUUAUGCCUUGCGGCCACUCUGUCGAAUCAUGGGGUUUCGACCCGAUUCGUAGGCGUGCUCCCUGUUUUGGAUGGGAAGUAGGCGUGUUUGUAGUAUUCGUGCUUCGAUUCGUCAACGGAGAUUAGAAGACCUGGGAUGGGAUUUGAGGAAAUCUAGGUAUCUGUCUAGCACGUUUCUAGAUCUAUUCUUCAGCUGUUAUAUGAGAGUAAUUUUGGAACCCUGGUGGGGUAUGUUUGACCGAGUAUUCUGUAGAUUAUUGUCCGUGACUUGCUGGCUGUUACCGUCCUUAUCUCUGCAUCAUCUAUCUGUGCUAGUUUCUGCGUGCUUCUCAAAUAUUUCCGGCCUGUGUAGCAUGUGACUGAUAAUAUGAUUUUGGCAGCUUCUGCAUAAGAACAACAAAUCAAAAGCUUGAUCAGCUCGGUGCCUACAAAACCUCAACAACCAAGUUUCAUGUCUGAUCUCGACGUCCAGCUUCCAUCUGCCUUUGGUAUGGCUACUUCUCAAUUCAUGAUGCCAUGUUUUUUUUUAUAUUGUGGUUUUACAUAAUACAUAGCAUCUUCCAGCUUCCUGAAGAGUAUUACUGAAUAGAUUGAUAACAUCAUACACACGAAGUUCAUCUUGAACAUGCUUAUUAGUGUUCUGUUUGCAUCUGAUGGUAUGGCAUCAUCUUUGAUAGAU